rnacentral:lncRNA from 1 species
UCCUAAUGAAGAAGCAAACAUCUUUUAUGAACAAUUGCGUGAUUGUAGUAGUCCUUUGUUCAACGGGAGUCAACACUCUAAAUUGUCUGUUGCAGUUAGAUUGUUAAGUAUCAAAUGUGACAAUAAUAUUUCUCAAGGAGCAAUGGACUCUAUGAUAGAUCUUAUAAAGGAAUUAGUUGAUCCCAAUGUAGAGAUUCCUGAUUCUUAUUAUAAAGCAAAUGCAUUGGUGUCUAAGUUAGGACUCUCCUCGAUAAGAAUUGAUUGUUGUGAAAAAGGUUGCAUGUUAUACUAUAAGGAGGAUGUCGAUCUAGAGUCUUGUAAGUUUUGUAGUCACCCUCGCUAUAACACUGGUUCUACUGGAAAGAAACUUGCUAUUAAGGAGAUGCAUUAUUUACCUCUUAUACCAAGAUUGAAAAGGUUGUAUGCAUCAAAUAGCUCUGCUCCUCAUAUGAGAUGGCACCGUGAAAAUAGAAGGCCACCUGGUGUGAUAUGUCAUCCAUCUGACGGAGAGGCUUGGAAACAUUUUGAUAGAACUUAUCCAGAUUUUGCCGGUGAACCUAGGAAUGUUAGGCUGGGGUUUGUGUGCGGAUGGUUUCACCCCUUUUUCAGUUGGGGCUGCACCAUAUUCUUGUUGGCCUGUGUUUAUUACAUCGUAUAAUCUUCCACCUGAGAUGUGUAUGACAAGUCCAUAUAUAUUUCUGAAUUGUGUCAUUCCUGGUCCGAGUAAUCCAAAAAGCAAGAUUGAUGUGUACUUACAACCUUUGAUUGAUGAGUUGAAAUUGUUGUGGUCUGAAGGGGGUAGAAACAUGGGACAUUUCUUGUAAACAAAAUUUAAACAUGCGUGCUACUUUAAUGUGGACUAUUAAUGAUUUUCCUGCCUAUGGAAUGCUAUCUGGAUGUAUGACUACUGGAAAGUUAGCAUGUCCCUACUGUAUGGAAGAUACUAAAUCAUUCACAUUAAAACAUGGGCGAAAAAAUUCAUGGUUUGAUUGUCACCGUCGGUUCUUGCCACCUGAUCAUGAGUUUAGGAGAAAGAAAUAUGCAUUUAAAAAGAAUAAAACUGAACGAGAUGGUCCACCCCCAAUAUUAACAGGUGAUGAUAUUUGGAAAGGGUUCAAAAUUUUCCAAAGGUAACUGAGGAACCACCGUACAAAUUUGAUGGGUAUGGUGUUGCACAUAAUUGGACUAAACAGAGUAUAUUCUGGGAGCUACCUUAUUGGAAGGAUAAUUUGCUUAGACAUAAUCUUGAAGUCAUGCAUAUUGAAAAGAAUUAUUUUGCUAAUCUGUUCAACACUGUAAUGGAUGUGACUGGCAAGACAAAAGAUAAUGUUAAGGCGAGAUGUGACUUACCAGAACAUUGUAGACGACCGGAGUUGCAUUUACAGGAGUCUGCCAACAACAAGUUACUUAAGCCCAAGGCUAGUUAUUCAUUCACAAUGGAACAGAAGAGAAAAAUUUGUGAGUGGGUGGAAAGCUUGAAAAUGCCAGAUGGAUAUGCCUCAAAUUUGGGAAAGAGAGUUGACAUUGAGCAUGGAAUAUUACAUGGGAUGAAAAGUCAUGAUUGUCAUGUUUUCAUGGAACAAUUACUUCUGAUUGCUUUUUGUGGAUUGCCUGAAAACAUAUGGAAACCGUUGACAGAGAUCAGUUUGUUCUUCAAAGACUUGUGUUCCAGCACAUUGAGAGUAGAGAAUCUGAUUCGGAUGGCCAAAAAUGUCGUUGUUAUUAGUAAUAAGUUGGAGAAGAUUCUUCCACCUGGGUUCUUUGAUGUGAUGGAACAUCUUCCCAUUCGCCUUGUUCAUGAAGCCCUACUAGGAGGUCCAGUCCAAUAUCUGGAUGUAUCCUUUUGAGCGGUAAGUAACUAUAACAUAUUUAUUCUUAUUUCAUAAAUCAUUCAUAUAUCUGUUGAAAUUAUAUAUCUAAUAUAAAAUUUUACAGGAGCAUUGGCAAGUCUAAAAGGGGUAUUAAGAAUAAACAUAGAGUGGAAGGCUGUGUGGUUCAUGUAUAUCUAGCUAAAGAAAGAUCCCACUUUUGUUCUUACUACUUUGAUGAUUAUCUGUCGUGUUUGAGAAACAGCCCUAAUCGACAUGAUGCUACUGGGAAUGCUCCUGCAGUGCAAUCAUUAUCAAUCUUCAACCAACCGGGUAAGGGUUAAAAAAAGCAACUAAGAGAUUAGUGUACUCUUCCUUCUACUAACAUUGCUUUUAAUUUACUAAUUAUAUAUAGGUUUACAAUUCAGAAAAUGCCGCCACAUUUGAUCAAUUUUUCAAGGAUAUUUCUUGGGGACCGAUUACAGUUCACACAAUGUCCCAAUAUAACGUAAAUGGUUUUAAAUUUGCCACAGAGAAAUACUCAAAGAAUAAGAAAACUAAUAAUAGUGGUGUUUGGGUUAAAGGUGAUGAUGGAAAUCAAAAUGAGAAUGUUGAUUAUUUUGGCGUCCUACAGGAGAUUGUAGAGUUGGAGUAUUCGGGUUGGCCAAUCAAAAGAAUAGUACUUUUCCAAUGCAAGUGGUUUGAUCCAACUUCAAGAGGUACGAGGGAGCUUAAGCAGCAUAAUAUCAUUGAAGUCAAGCACACUAGGAAGUAUGAGGCUUAUGAUCCUUUUAUUAUUGCACAAAAUGUUAAGCAAGUGUCCUAUGCUCCUUAUCCGUUGCGUAGGGAUAAGUCUAAUUGCUGGGGCGUAAUCAAAACAAAACCGAUGGGGCGAGUGGAAGUUGAGAAUGAAUUGGAUGUUGCAUAUCAAAAUGAAAUAUCAAGUGUUCAUCAAGUAGUGGAUGUUGAGUUAGAAAUGAAUUUGGAGCAUCCUGAUCACAUUUUAGAAGAAGUUAAUAGAGAAGAGUUAGAUAUGCCAACAAAUAUGGAGGAGGAUGAAGAGGAAACUUUUGAAGAGGAUGAAUGGAUAGAUGAGGAGGAAACUUCCGAAGAUGAUGCAUGUGAAUGGAUAGAUGAUGAAGAAACUUCCGAAGAGGAUGAAUAACAAUUUGUAUGUUUAGUUAGUGGAUUUUUAGCUAUUCAUAUUUGAGUAUACUUUAUAUUUUAGUAGUUUUAACUUUUGUUUGACAUUGUGAAAGACUAUUUGGAUUAAGCCUUAUGUUAUGAUAACUUUGUUUGAUAUAUUUGUUCGACAUUGUGACAUUAUUUUGUACUACUUUAUUUUAAUCUUUAUAUUUAAUUGAUAUAGAUGGUAGAUAAAGACAAGGGUAAAUCAAAAAAAUCCGCUAAUCCAAAAAAGAAAUUUAAGGCAUAUGCUAUGAGAAGGCCCACUGGGGUCGUGAUAUCUAAUGAGCCCUCUCGAGUUAAUAUUUCAAAACGAGCCUCAGUUUCAACUACUCACUCGGCACACCAAUCACAUAAUGCCUCUACUCAUGUGGCUCCACAAUCUGGUUAUACUAUAUCUACACCCACUGUGGUACCUAGUUCGGGGUACCAAACUUUGCAGGGCUAUUCACAUCUUGGUCGUGGGUCUACCAUACCAUCAUCUAGUGCUAGUCAGUGCAAUACUUUGAAUACUAGUAGUGGAUCAAUUGGACUUUCCAAUCUUCAUCUUGAAUCCAAUGGCUCAGAGCCUAAUACUCCCACCACCCAGCACUUAGAUGUACAUGGUCCUCAGCAAGGUGAUAGAGACAAUUUCGGAGACUCGUCAUCGAGCCAUUAGGAUACAAGUAUGAUUUAAUUAUGUUUUAUCUUUCAUUUAUCUAUUUAUGUUUUCAUUGAUUGAUUAUUUUUUGUUUACUCUACUUUGUCAAUGAACUCGUAUUUCAGCUUACGUCCGAAUGUGGGUAUGGAAAAGAUUAUUUUAAAGUGCAUCGGAACUCACUAUAAUGGUGUGUAUCCGAAUUGGAGUUCGAUUCCACUUAACACCCAAGGGCAGAUGUUCAACGAAUUUAAGGUAAGAAUAUAUAUAAAUUAAAUUCACAUCAUAUACAUUUAAAUUCUCUAGUCAUUUGAACAAUAAAUAUUUAGUUAUUUUUUAUUACAGAAAUAUUAUGUAUGGGCUCCCGAACACGAGGAUGACGUUCAAGUGAACUUCAAGCUUAAAGCUUCAAAGUUGCUUUCUAGCACAUUUUGUGACUGUCGAAAAAAAAACAGAAUGCCUAAGUUUAUGUUACCAGAUCGAUGGGCUCUGUUACUGAAACAUUGGAGUACUGAUGAAAAAUUUAAAAAGAGGAGUGAGAUUGGGAAGAUGGCUCGCGCAUCAGAAAAGGGAGGCUCUUUGCACACUGGUGGAGCUAUUAGCCAGGUUACUAGGAAGGAAAGAAUGGUAUACUUUCUUAAUUUAGUAAAAUAAUUUUUUUCUUUUUUGAUAAGUACUUUUUGGAGAUUAAUGAGAUCAAAUUCUAUAUAUGUUAUUUGCAGGAAAAAGAGUUGGGUAGGCCGGUAGCUGUAGCAGAGAUGUUCAAGGUUACUCACGUCAAGAAGAGUACGAACCCCACAGAAGAAGAAAGAUGGAUUGAGACAUAUGUAAGAACUCCAUUCAAACGAAUCUUUUUUUCUUUUCCUUGUAUAUAUUACAUUCUUAUUCGUAGAGUUCUUUGUUUAAAUUACAAGAUAGGUAUAUACGAAUAUCUCAGGAAUAUCAUAGUACUAUACCUCUUGAGAGUCAGGAUAGACCAUUUACACAAUAAGAAAAUGAGAAUCUUUUGAAACAGAGUGCUGGUGAACCCAUUAGAGGUUCAGUCUACGGCUAUCCAGAAAAGGCNNNNNNNNNNNNNNNNNNNNNNNNNNNNNNNNNNNNNNNNNNNNNNNNNNNNNNNNNNNNNNNNNNNNNNNNNNNNNNNNNNNNNNNNNNNNNNNNNNNNNNNNNNNNNNNNNNNNNNNNNNNNNNNNNNNNNNNNNNNNNNNNNNNNNNNNNNNNNNNNNNNNNNNNNNNNNNNNNNNNNNNNNNNNNNNNNNNNNNNNNNNNNNNNNNNNNNNNNNNNNNNNNNNNNNNNNNAAGAAAAAGAGAGGAAGAGAGAGGAGGAGAUUGCGGCAGCAAAGGAGGUAGAGAACAAGAGGUAUGCAGCGCUUCAGGCCCAACUAACUUUUCUUUUUGAAUCAGGAAAUAUUCUUCCUCCAUGUCCGGCUAGCAGUGAUGGAUCUGAUCAGGAGGGUGAUGAGAAUGAUAAGGAGAGUGAGGGUGAUGAAGAGUAGUUGUAUCUAUUUGACAUUUUAGACUUCUAUACUUUUGGAAUUGUUUAAUUUGAUCGUAUUAUAGUUUAUUUUGA